CCUCAGACCACAGGGAGGAGGGGUCAACCACCGGCCACCUGCAGUUGAGUCUCCAGACACCUUGGAUCAGAGAGUGGAUUUUCCUGACUUGGUCCUUGUCCCACGGAACCCACAGGCAGAGGAUGAUGAAAUUCCACGCCACUUGAUGUGGUGUGAUUUUUCAUGCAGAGCAAUCUUGUCUGCUGGAUGCGACUACAAAUAACUUCUCUUCAACGGGGAUCAAAGUGC